UACGAAGGGGCUAGCGUUGCUCGGAAUCACUGGGCGUAAAGGGUGCGUAGGCGGGUCUUUAAGUCGAGGGGUGAAAUCCUGGAGCUCAACUCCAGAACUGCCUUUGAUACUGAAGAUCUUGAGUUCGGGAGAGGUGAGUGGAACUGCGAGUGUAGAGGUGAAAUUCGUAGAUAUUCGCAAGAACACCAGUGGCGAAGGCGGCUCACUGGCCCGAUACUGACGCUGAGGCACGAAAGCGUGGGGAGCAAACAGG
rnacentral:rRNA from 1 species